AUACGGAGGGUGCGAGCGUUAAUCGGAAUUACUGGGCGUAAAGCGUACGUAGGCGGCUUGGUCAGUCGGAUGUGAAAGCCCCGGGCUUAACCUGGGAAUUGCACUCGAUACUGCCAGACUAGAGUUUAGUAGAGGAAUGCGGAAUUCCGGGUGUAGCGGUGAAAUGCGUAGAUAUCCGGAGGAACAUCAGUGGCGAAGGCGGCAUUCUGGGCUAAAACUGACGCUGAGGUACGAAAGCGUGGGGAGCAAACAGGAUUAGAAACCCCAGUAGUCC
rnacentral:rRNA from 1 species